UACGGGGGGGAGCAAGCGUUGUUCGGAUUUACUGGGCGUAAAGGGCGCGUAGGCGGUCGUGACAAGUCACUUGUGAAAUCUCCGGGCUUAACUCGGAACGGUCAAGUGAUACUGUCGGACUAGAGUACAGAAGGGGCAACUGGAAUUCUCGGUGUAGCGGUGAAAAUGCCGUAGAUAUCGAGAGGAACACCUGCGGCGAAGGCGGGUUGCUGGGCUGAUACUGACGCUGAGGCGCGAAAGCCAGGGGAGCGAACGGG
rnacentral:rRNA from 1 species